rnacentral:rRNA from 1 species
GUAACUGCGAGUGAAGCGGGAAAAGCUCAAAUUUAAAAUCUGGUGGUCUUUGGCCAUCCGAGUUGUAAUCUAGAGAAGUGUUACCCGCGUCGGACCGUGUACAAGUCUCCUGGAAUGGAGCGUCAUAGAGGGUGAGAAUCCCGUCUUUGACACGGACUACCGAGGCUUUGUGGUGCGCUCUCAAAGAGUCGAGUUGUUUGGGAAUGCAGCUCAAAAUGGGUGGUAAAUUCCAUCUAAAGCUAAAUAUUGGCGAGAGACCGAUAGCGAACAAGUACCGUGAGGGAAAGAUGAAAAGAACUUUGGAAAGAGAGUUAAACAGUACGUGAAAUUGCUGAAAGGGAAACGCUUGAAGUCAGUCGCGUUGGCCGGAAAUCAGCCUUCCUUUUGGUUGGUGUACUUUCUGGUUGACGGGCCAGCAUCAGUUUUGACCGGUGGAUAAAGUUGUAGGGAAUGUGGCAUCUUCGGGUGUGUUAUAGCCCUGCUUCGUAUACAUCGGUUGGGACUGAGGAACUCAGCACGCCGCAAGGCCGGGGUUCGCCCACGUUCGUGCUUAGGAUGCUGGCAUAAUGGCUUUAAUCGACCCGUCUUGAAACACGGACCAAGGAGUCUAACAUGCCUGCGAGUGUUUGGGUGGAAAACCCGAGCGCGUAAUGAAAGUGAAAGUCAAGAUCCUUGUCAUGGGGAGCAUUGACGCCCGGACCUGAAGUUUACGGACGGUUCUGCGGUAGAGCAUGUAUGUUGGGACCCGAAAGAUGGUGAACUAUGCCUGAAUAGGGUGAAGCCAGAGGAAACUCUGGUGGAGGCUCGUAGCGAUUCUGACGUGCAAAUCGAUCGUCAAAU